GAAGUAGCGGCAUCCUGACCGGAAGUGGGUGUGGAACUCAGAUAGACUCCACGGAGUUUGUAAUCAGGUUUAACCUCCCACCCUUGGAGAAGGGCUAUAUCCCGGAUGUAGGGCGUAAGGUGGAUCUGGUGACCUGUAACCGUUACCGGCUGAAGAUGCAAUUCGAAUACCUCGUGAGUGAAGCCAACAAGAAAAAGUUCAUCGACUUUCUGAGCAGCAACUAUCCCAA